rnacentral:rRNA from 1 species
AGAGUUUGAUCAGGGCUCAGGACGAACGCUGGCGGCGUGCUUAACACAUGCAAGUCGAACGGGGCAUAGAGAUAUGCCUAGUGGCGGACGGGUGAGUAACACGUGAGCAAUCUAUCCUAUACAACGGGAUAACACAGAGAAAUUUGUGCUAAUACGGUAUAAGACCACAUUCCGGCAUCGGAGAGGGGUAAAAGCUGAGGCGGUAUAGGAGGAGCUCGCGGCCCAUUAGCUAGUUGGAGAGGUAACGG